CCUAGUACAAAAGAACCGUCGCUGGUGGCCGGCCUCCUCCUUCCGGCACGUCGGGAGCCGGGGAUACGAAAGUGGCCGCCGCCAGGGGCGGUAGCGGGUCGGCGACCGGAGAACCACAGAACCCCUGAGUCAGAAAACGAAGGUGGAGGGUCGCUUCGGUUAGACAAGGUCUUGCUCCGUCAGCCAGCCUGGAGUGCAGCGGCAUCAUUAUAAUUCACUUCAACAUGUAACUCUCCAGCUGAAUGGAAUAUUCCUGCCUUGGCCUGCUGAGUAGCUGGGACUUUUGAGAGAAGUCUCACUAUGUUGUCCAGACUGGUCUCCAACUCUUGGGCCCAAGUGAUCCUCCUACCUCAGUCUCCGAACAUGCUAGAGUUACAGAUCCUCUUCUGGUUUGGGGACACUUUGAAGAUGUGACACUUGUGCCUGCUAUAGCUGUCCAGCAUCCAUGAGGCUUCUUUCUAAGCAGAAACCAACGGCCUGCCAGAAUGGGAAGAAGACAGAGCAU